rnacentral:rRNA from 1 species
UACGUAGGUGGCAAGCGUUGUCCGGAAUUAUUGGGCGUAAAGCGCGCGCAGGCGGUUUCUUAAGUCUGAUGUGAAAUCUCGCGGCUCAACCGUGAGCGGUCAUUGGAAACUGGGAAGCUUGAGUGCAGAAGAGAAGAGCGGAAUUCCACGUGUAGCGGUGAAAUGCGUAGAUAUCGGAAGGAACACCGGUGGCGAAGGCGGCUGCCUGGCCUGAUACUGACACUGAGGCACGAAAGCGUGGGGAGCAAACAGG